rnacentral:rRNA from 1 species
GUGGGGAAUAUUGCACAAUGGGGGAAACCCUGAUGCAGCGACGCCGCGUGGAGGAAGAAGGUCUUCGGAUUGUAAACUCCUGUUGUUGAGGAAGAUAAUGACGGUACUCAACAAGGAAGUGACGGCUAACUACGUGCCAGCAGCCGCGGUAAAACGUAGGUCACAAGCGUUGUCCGGAAUUACUGGGUGUAAAGGGAGCGCAGGCGGGAAGACAAGUUGGAAGUGAAAUCCAUGGGCUCAACCCAUGAACUGCUUUCAAAACUGUUUUUCUUGAGUAGUGCAGAGGUAGGCGGAAUUCCCGGUGUAGCGGUGGAAUGCGUAGAUAUCGGGAGGAACACCAGUGGCGAAGGCGGCCUACUGGGCACCAACUGACGCUGAGGCUCGAAAGUGUGGGUAGCAAACAGGAUUAGAAACCCGUGUAGUCC